CUCCUCUGGGCUCUGCACACUGAGCCCAUCCCGGGGGAAUGGUGGGAUAUUUUGACAGAUGUGAAACUCCGAUUCACACUGCCACCAUCGACCAUCCGUCAAAAACAGCUGAUGCCAAUAACAAGUUCAUUCAAUUUGCGCGGAAGACAUAUUAAUUCUUGGUUCUUAUAAUGGAUGAUGAAGAUAUAGCAAUUAUUUCGGCUGUGGUUCAACAGCAAAAUAUUUUCUUGCACCAACUAAUAAUGUUGCUGUCAAUGAAUAAUGAUGAUGACGACGAUGACUUUAAAAUUGGCGAGGAUGAGAUGCUUGACUGGGUAACUGCCAUAAAAACACAAAGGCCAGGAAGAUUAUGGUCGUAAGCGGUUCGGGACAUUUUGGGAGCAAGACUUACCAGAAAACAACGAGGCGUUUUUCAAGGAGAGUUUCCGAAUGGAGAGGCCCUGCUUUGAUAUUUUAGUGAAUCGGCUUGAAGUGCUGCGAAAGAAGGACACCAACUGCCGAGCUGCAAUUCCUUUGGAAAAGCGCAUCGCCAUUGCGCUAUACACUUUGGGCUCGUCCUCUGAGUACCGAACAGUUGGCAGGCUUUUCGGUGUAGCUCCAUACAGUGUGUGUAAUAUCCUGCACGAGUUUUGCAGAACACUUAUCAACGAGUUUUCGAAGGAGUACAUGUGGCCCCAUUACCUAACUUCCGACAAAAUUGAUGAGUGCGUAAAGGGACUCGAGGCAAUUGGGUUUCCUCAGUGCCUAGGUGCAAUUGGUAGGAAAUCAAAAAGAACUUCAGCAAUAUGUUUACAUAUAAAUUGGUUUUUAAACUUUUAUUGGAUUAUAGAUACAGAUUUACAUAUGUAAAUAUCGGCUCUGCAGGAAGGUGCAAUGACUCGAUGAUAUACCAGAAGUCAAGCCUUGCAAAACAUAUCGAAGCAUCGGCAUUACUCCAAGAGAAAGCCAAGGAAAUAAGCGGAGUAAACGUCCCUGUAAUGCUUAUCGGGGACUCGGCAUUUAGGUUUUCUAAAAAGCUGAUGAAACCUUACCCGUUUUCCACAGUCGCCUCUUUGGAACAGCGCACGUUUAACUACAACCUUUCCAAAGCUAG